ensembl:lncRNA
GUAUGAAAGUGUACUUCAGUUCUGUCUCUUAAAGGACUUUUACACUUGGUUAUUUGGUGUAAAUGAUUUCACACCUGAGGAAAAAGAGAUGCAGCUCAAAAAACUAGAAUCGUAUCGUGGGGAAAAAUUUCUUUCCGGGAUUGAAUUCAAAAAGUGGGAUUUUCAUAUAUUCUAGAUUCGUUACACGUAAAGGGAAACAUUUCCAGCCUUUUUUUUGUUUGUUUGUUUUAAUCUCGAUGAUUAAAGUCUUACGGCUCAUUGAAAUCAAAAAUCCACACGUACUCUUUCAGUUUGAAGUUAAACGAAGCGCAUUCUUCUUGCCAGGUGUGAUUAUGGUGCAAGUUCAGAGCUGAUAAAUAAACCAGAAAGGAAAGCGCGCUAUAAAAUGACUCAUGGUUUGAAACUGUGUUGUGAAUGAAGGCCGACAGAGUGACGCGGCAGCAGCUAUGACAAAACAUCCGAUUUAGAGAACAAUUUACUGUAUGCAAGAAAUUUCUCCUGUUACAGAUGUCUACUUAAAUCCCAGUAAGAUAAGGGAUAAAGUAUACAAUGCACAAUUAUGAAUAUCUAAGGCAUAAAACAGGACAUCACACACAAAAAAAAAAAACCCAACCCAAUAAAAACCAUCAAUUCUAAUGGUUUCCACUACACAUACCAUUACAAACCAUCAGCUGUUAACCAUUAAAACCAUUAUUAAAUGCUUUCCAUUAUGUAGUAGGACAUAUUAAGGAUAGACAUAACCACUAGACGUAAUAGAAGGCAACAAUUGACCAGUAGAGACCCACAGGGACCAUUAGAGUUUCCAUUAAAACCAAUAUAAUUCCCAUUAUAAACAUUAAAAACUGAAACAUUACAAAUUCUAUGAGGGUUUCUGUUGUUUUGUUUUUUUCAGUAAGGUGUGGUGCAGGUUCACUCCUGAGCUUGGAUUACUGUCUGUGGGAAGUUUCUGGGCAUGUUCUCGCCAUGUCUGCCUGGAUAUCCUGGUUCCUCCCACUUGCCAGUAGAUGAAUUGGCUACUCUAAAAUUGUCCCUCGUGUGAACGAGUGUGUGUGUGAAGAUCUGGUAUCCCACAUUCUGAACAUAUUCUGAGGGCAAUGGUAGGUCAAGUGAUUAAGACGUUGGCCCUUCUGAUUAGACGGUUGCGAGUUCAAAUCCUAGCACUGCCAAGAUGCAUCUGCUGGACCCUUGAGCGAGGCCCGGCUUGACUCUCAGCUCUUCAGUCGCUCUGGAUAAGGGUGUCUUCUUAUCAAAUAUCAUAAAU